rnacentral:rRNA from 1 species
AUACGUAGGGAGCAAGCGUUGUCCGGAUUUACUGGGUGUAAAGGGUGUGUAGGCGGCUCUGCAAGUCAGGUGUGAAAACCAUCGGCUCAACUGAUGGACUGCAUUUGAAACUGUGGGGCUUGAGUGAAGUAGAGGCAAGCGGAAUUCCCGGUGUAGCGGUGAAAUGCGUAGAGAUCGGGAGGAACACCAGUGGCGAAGGCGGCUUGCUGGGCUUUAACUGACGCUGAGGCACGAAAGCGUGGGCAGCAAACAGGAUUAGAUACCCUGGUAGUCCAUGCUGUAAACGAUGAUUACUAGGUGUGGGUGGACUGACCCCAUCCGUGCCGGAGUUAACACAAUAAGUAAUCCACCUGGGAAGUACGACCGCAAGGUUGAA